rnacentral:rRNA from 1 species
AAGAGAUGGCGACCGGCGCACGGGUGAGUAACACGUAUCCAACCUGCCGAUAACUCCGGAAUAGCCUUUCGAAAGAAAGAUUAAUACCGGAUGGCAUACGAAUAUCGCAUGAUAUUUUUAUUAAAGAAUUUCGGUUAUCGAUGGGGAUGCGUUCCAUUAGUUUGUUGGCGGGGUAACGGCCUACCAAGACUACGAUGGAUAGGGGUUCUGAGAGGAAGGUCCCCCACAUUGGAACUGAGACACGGUCCAA